GAUCUGUGUCUGGACGGAUGCCGGACCACCCUGGCGGUCCGUCGUGUCGCGGCCGGCCGUGUCGCGGGACCACGUGUCCCGUCGGCGCGGUCGCCGUCGCGCUCGUCAGCCGUCUCGGGGUGUUAGUUACCGGCACGUCGGCCGGACGUAUUGUCGGCAGGCGGACACGUGUCUCGUGCUUCCGGCGCGCCGCGCGGCCACGCGUCGCGCGGCCGUCGGUGUUCGACGACGGCGGCCGCCUACUCCAAUCUUGCUGCGCGGUGCUCUUCACCGAGUGCCGUCGGCGGGCCGACACGUUUACUUUGAACAAAUUAGAGUGCUCAAAGCAGGCUCGAAUCUGGCGGGGCGGCUUCACGGCCGUCUCGUCAAAAGGCCCUGAAUACUGGUCGCAUGGAAUAAUGGAACAAGACCUCGGUCCCGCGCAUCUCCGCCCUUCGCGGGCGCGCGAAAUCGCCCUCCGGGGCGUUUCCGUGCGCGGGCCGCCGGGCCGCGGGCGCCAGUCGCCCGCGCGUCCCGCCGGGCCGGUUUUCGGGACCGGAGGUAAUGAUCAACAGAGACGGGCGGGGGCAUUCGUACCGAGACGUUAGAGGUGAAAUUCUUGGAUCGUCUCGAGACGAACUGACGCGAAAGCAUUUGCCAAGUACGUUCUCGUAUGAUCAAGAACGAAAGUUAGAGGUUCGAAGGCGAUCAGAUACCGCCCUAGUUCUAACUGUAAACGAUGCCAGCUAGCGAUCCGCCGGCGUUUCAUUAACGACCCGGCGGGCAGCUUCCGGGAAACCGAAGCUUUUCGGUUCCGGGGGAAGUAUGAUUGCAAAGUUGAAACUUAAAGGAAUUGACGGAAGGGCAC
rnacentral:ncRNA from 1 species